AUGGCGAAUCCGACCAUUGUGCUACUGCCGGUCUGGGGCGCCGGCCACUUCAUGCCCAUGCUACAGGCCGGGAAGCAGCUACUCGCCAGCAGCAGCCGGCCCCUGUCGCUCACGGUGCUCCUCAUGCCGGCGCCGACAGCGCAGGCUGCGUCCGACAUCUCCGAGCACGUACGCCGGGAGGAAGCGGCAGGCGCCGUGGACAUCCGCUUCCACCAUCUCCCGGACGUGAAGCUCCCGACGGACCACUCGGGCAUCGAGGAGUUCCUCUCCCGCGCAGUGCAGCUCCACGUGCCCCAUCUCCGCGCAGCUAUAAUUGGCUUGACCUGUCCGGUGGCCGCGCUCGUCGUCGACAUAUUCUGCACGCCGGCGCUAGACGUGUCCGGCGAGCUUGCCGUGCCGUCCUACGUGUACUACACCUCCAGCGCUGCGAUGCUGUCACUCCUCUUGCGCUCGCCCGCUCUGGACGACGAGGUGGUUGUUGAGUUCGAGGAGAUGGAAGGUGCUCUGGACUUGCCCGGCCUCCCGCCGGUGCCGCCGCCCGUCCUCCCGGGGACCUUGCUGGAACGGAAGAGUCCGACCUACAAGUGGUUCGUGUACACCGGCAGGCGCUACGUGGAAGCCAGCGGCAUCAUCGUCAACACGGCAGCCGAGCUGGAGCCUCGCGUCCUUGCAGCCAUCGCCCGCGCCCCGGCCGUGUACCCUAUCGGCCCAGUGCUGGCGCUGACGCCACCCGCUCACGCCGAGGAGGAGGAGCAGCCGCACCACGAGUGCCUGCGGUGGCUCGACGCGCAGCCUCCGGCGUCCGUGCUGUUCCUCUGCUUCGGGAGCAAAGGAUUCCUGACCAAGCCGCAGGCGCACGAGAUAGCGCGGGGCCUGGAGCGCAGCGGCCACCACUUCCUGUGGGUGCUCCUUGGGCUGCCGGUGGACAUCUCGCGCGGCGCACAAGACCCCAGCGACGCGAACCUGGCGGAGCUUCUCCCGGAGGGUUUCUUGGGGGCGACAAAGGAAAGAGGGCUCGUGUGGCCCAAGAGGGCGCCGCAGAAGGAGAUACUGGCGCACGCCUCCGUGGGGGGCUUCGUCACCCACUGCGGCUGGAACUCCGUCCUGGAGAGUCUGUGGUUCGGCGUGCCGAUGCUGCCGUGGCCGCUGGGCGCGGAGCAGCAUUUCAACGCCUUCACGUCGGUCUGCGACAUGGGCGUGGGCGUGCCGCUGACAGUGGACAGGAAACGGGACAACUUCGUGGAGGCGGCGGAGCUGGAGCGAGCGGUGAGGUUCCUGAUGGGCGGUGGCGAGGAAGGGAGGAAGGCGAAGGAGAAGGCCAUGGAAAUGAUGGUGGUCUGCCGCAAGGCAGUGGACCAUACUGGGUCCUCUUGCGCUUCGAUGAGGAGGUUGUGUGAGGAUCUACUCGGAGGAGCGGUGGUGUUGCCCAACGUGUGA
rnacentral:rRNA from 1 species